ACGGAAUGUUACAUUAAACUGCUCCAUAAGGUCACUGGGGAUCUGUCUAUAUACUAUACAUGCAAUCUAAUCAUAACAAUUAACCCAUUCUAUUUAAGAUCAGCUAACAAAGGCAUGUAUAUAACCUUUCAAAUAGUUAAUAUCAUCUUGUAGAUUACCAAGUAAUGCCAUUCGUAGUGAUAGCAAGGCAGAUCCAUUGGACUAUAAAACAGAUAACAUCUGUAGAUGGUUGAAGGGUGAAACUUACUUCAGAAGAUUUCGUAAAUUUACACCCCGACAAACAAGUAGAGGAUCAUCCUCAUCUGGUAGUGGUACUGAUCUCACAGAUGAACCAACAGAGUGAACCAAGAGAGAGGAGAGAGAGAGAGAUGGAAUGACGCAUUGUGUUGCACCAUCUCAACAUAGUUUCCGACCAACCAAAGAUUUCAAGACCUCCAGUGGAGUGUGUGGAUCCGGGGGCUGACCAACAGGCCUCUAAGAUGUCUAAACAACUUAACCUUAAAUCUGUUCUCAUGCCACCUAUACAGGACAAGUCUUUUUUUAUAGGAUUGACAACUGAGAAUCUGUGGAGAGUGGCGGCAAUGCUAGUCCUGUGUGGUGGUUGGCAGGCCCUGGAACUUUGUGGGGGCAACUACUGGGAAUCCACCUGGCACUGAUCUUGCUUUCCAGCCUUAAAAUGGAUACUCUCCUACGCAGAGGAGGACAGUGACAUCAUAUUCAAAUACCCUAAGGGUUAAGAAAAAAAUUUUGUUUCCAUCAUUUCACACAGGUAUACAGCAUAGACCAAAACAAUUUAGCAUUGGAAAUUGUAUAUUAACAAAUAUUAAACCAAUAAACUUAAACAAC